UCCUCCAUAGCUCAGUGGUUAGAGCGUCCAACCGGCACCUGGAAGGUCAUGGGUUCAAUUCCGUUGGGGGAG
rnacentral:tRNA from 1 species